UAAUCGAUUAAUUGAGAGAACUUUGGGAGAUUGAUAUUGUAACAUAUGAUUCAAUUAGUAAAAAGAAUUUUUGAUUGUAUAAGAUAAUAAUAUGGAUAAUUAAUAAUUUUUCAGCAUAUGGCAAUCUAUCUGGAUGGAGCACAAAAAGAUAUUUGGCAUGUCCAAUUUGCAAUGGUGGUAGCUGUUCCGCUAGAUUGAAGCAUAGAAGAAAAUUUGUC
rnacentral:lncRNA from 1 species